AAGUUAAAAUUAAGACUAUGUUUGCCCCCAUGGAUGCUCCUUUCCUUUAUUAGUUCCUGCCUCGCAUGGAAUUAUAGCGAAGGCAUAAAACAUUAAAUAGUGAUUAAACUGUUUGCUGCCCGGGCAAUCCUAUCACUAGAUUUUUGAAGCUAAUGUUCGGUAGCUUUUUGAUAAAAUUUGUCUUACUAGAUUUUUGAAGAUUAUAGUGAUGUUGGAAAAAACAUUGUUUGGUUCUUCAUUUACAAGAUGUCUGUAGGAGAAACUAAAUUUAGUUUCAAGUGACUCGAAAUAAAUUAAUGUAGUUCAUAGGCACGAGUUCUUGAUAUAGUGAAUAUUUUGUACAUCGAACAGGUUUUACUAGAGGCUUUUGAAAAAAUUAUUAAAUGUGUUAAAUGUUAUGAGAAGCCAAAAUGUAUUUCAUUUUGUAGUUGUGUUUUUUGAGCAUCCCUUGAACCAAACUUUAUUUACAAGAUGAAUUGUUACAACAGAUCUAUAAGGUCUGAAAGUGUAGUGUUAGGGGUGCAGACUUUUUCAAGGUUCCUAGUGGCUGAAUAUUAACUCAGAUUGUUUCUGGAAGGUAUGCACAAUGUAAACCUCUGUAAUGAGGGUUUAAGUCUUCUCAUUAGGUCAGAAAUCAGACCAUUUUGUGCUUUGUUUAAACAACUAUUUGAAUAACUGGAAGGUAUGUACAAUGUAAAACUCUGUAAUGAGGGUUUAACUCUGCUCAUAAGGUCAGAAAUUAGACCAUUUUGUACUUUGUUUAAACAGCUAUUUGAGUAAGUACAUAUUGAAUUUGGUUGAUAUCAGCAAUUCUUUCUAUUCAUUACUUUUAGAUCAGCAAAGUAUCACCAAAUAUUUAAGUCUGAAAACUCUUCCAUAGAAUGCAUGCAAACUGUUUGUCUUAAUGACAAUUCUCUAAACGUUUUCAAUCUCAUGCCAAACACUGAGAUUAGAUUAACCCCCAUGGUUUUAGUUUUCAUUUUUUCAUGUCCUUGCACAUCAAGGUUUUUUGGUAAUUCGUAUGUUCUGCCAUUCUAUCGCUCUAUUGUUUGUUAAUCAAAGUAGGCAAGACCAUGGCAGCAAAACGAUUAUGUAAUUGCAUGAAUAUCUAGAUAUGAAUCACAACAGGCAAUGACAUUGUUAGUACUUGAAAUUUAUGCAACUGCUGUAUUAUCUGACUAUUAUCUCCAUUUUUCUCUUAUGUUAUUUGUUUUUUCAUCUUCAUCUUGACUCAUGCAUAGUUAGUUGUAAACAUGUUUCUAUCAAAUUUUGCACCUGCAAGAUAGUCAAUAGAACAAGAAAAUAAUGGAUUAAAAGAAAUUAAUGGCAUUCUUUUGCACAAUCAAUCCAUAAUCUAAUCCCUUAUUUGACAUUCCAAAGACUUCAAAUUCUGACUUGUUUUAUUUUUUCCUUGCAUUUUAAAAAUUAGCUAUUUACAGAGGGGUUCAGAUUUUCUGGAGGGUGUUGUUUUGCAGCGACUGGUCUUGGAGUACUCGUAUGCGCAGGAGGCUGCAGAGCAAGAAUUGUGGAAAUGAGCAGUUGGUGAUUUGGGUUUUUUCAUCUUUGCAUGUAGGUUGGAUGUGGGCAUUGAUGAAUAUGCCAGCUGUAAUCUACACCACACCCACAGAAAAGUUGGAAGCAAGGGAGGCUGCAAUCAACAGAACUCAAAAAUUCAUGACUUUUUGCUCUGGCACCUCCUGAGCUUUCAUUAUACACCUCCAAAACAUAGCAGCCACCGCAACAAACCAGCUCAAAGCCCCCACUUCGUUGGUUCGGCUCUUGUAUUGCCUCUUCUGUGAAACAAAAUGUAGUGCAUAACAAAUCCUCCUUGUUUUCGGGGGAUUUUUUGUCUCUCUCCUUGUAAAAAGUCUUUUUUUGUGCUUUGGCUAUGAAUUCUCAGGAACACGGUUGAAAAUCUCGGCCACCGCAAUUCCAACACUUUUUAUAUCAUUCUUAUAAAUGAUUUGAAAGGCAGAGUCCUUGCUUUCUUUUUUAUUCCUUCUUCUAUUUCUUCCCAAAAAAAUUAGGUUCUGGUUUGCAUUUUAGUUAUCACUUCGCAAUAUUAAAUCUUAAGUGAAUUGUAAGAGUUGGGAUUCUGUUGGUGCUUUUAGUAUCUAUUGUGGGAAGUUGAUUCAUCGUCAUUUAUAUCAUUAACUUUGUAGUGCAUAAAAAUUGAAGGCAUAUUGCAGGCAGAGGACUUUGCAGUCAAUAUGUUGGAGAAAUUUAGGGUCAGAAAUUUUGCUUGAAUGGCACAAAGCCAACAUAGUGAAUGCAGCCUUUGAAGGUAUAAUGAGGCAGUGGGCAACUUAUGUGGUGCAUCUAUCAAUCGAUUGAAGUUUUUAUUUCUAGAUAAGUAUGGUGUACUUCUCUUUGUCAUAUACAGUUUGUAUUCUCCCACUUUAUAUAGUGAUGAAGAUCUAGUUUCGAAGAAGUGAGUGAUGAAACUUGCUUAUAAUCAAAUGAAUUUUCCAUCUAAAUUUCCGAAGGAUUGAAAUCCCUUAAGUUAACCAUGCCCUAGAAUUUCAUUUAGAUAUUGCCAAAUUUUAAGUUGCUGGUAACCCAAGCUUGAAGGAUGUGGGCUUCAAACUUCUUUUUGGUAUUCAUACUAGGCAUACCAAUGUGAAUGAUCGAUCUCACAAUUCUUAGGUUUAGAAGUUAGUAUCCUUUAUAUAUGUAUAUGUCUGUACAUUUUAUAACUAGAACUAUUGUACAUUUUAUAUGAUUGACCCGUGGAAGGAAUGUAGUGUAUUCAUCUGACAGUGAUUAUGCGAGGAUAAAUAUUUUACCCGAUUAAGCUACUCACUGAAGCAUGAGAUAGGUUUAAACAGCGAAAAUUAAUUAUUAUAUUUGCGGUUAAGAAAAUUCGGUUAAGAAUAUGUAUCUAGGUGAAUGAAAUGCCUUCUAAAAUCCUUGCAUGUAAUCCACUCAUUAUCCUAAUGAUUACAAGAAUAUUUUAUAAACUCCAUCCACCAAAAAAUAAACACCUUCAAGUGAUAAGCGAUUGCUUACUGGAUAGAAUUUGAUCACGUAGAAUUAGUUCAUUACAAACAAAAUGUUAUAUUUGCAAUGUUCAAAUGCAACCAGUUAGAGAAAACUGGAAUCAAAUCUAAUCUGUACAAUGUUCAUUUUCUGACAAGUUGGUCAAUAAAAUAAGAGAGGAUUGCUUGUGCAAACAAUCUUUCGAACACUCCAUUACUCUCAUUUAUUAUUUGUUUGAACUCUGACAUUAUCCGUACAAAAACUUCACCAAUUAUGUAGCAGAAGGAUGCAUUUUCAGCUUUCAUGUGCUAGCCUUAUGGGCUGUUUCUAGCUUGUACUAAUUUUUGUUUAUGUCGGAUUUACAAGCUCUGGUCUUAGUGGUAUUUCCCUUAGAUGAGAUUCUAAUCCACAUUAAUAUUUUUCUUCUAUUCCCUCUCUUUCUACCCUAAAGUAUUCUUUAGCUUUUUCUUGAUAUUUGAUAGAUAAAAUCAUAAAGCUCAGAAAAAUUAAAUUUAAAAUUUUCAUAGGCUGGAUCUAGAAGAAUUAUCUGUGUAAGAUAAGCCCUUUCAGCAAAUAUCGAAAUGCAUGCACUAAUAUGAUCAUAUAAGAUUCAUAAUAUGUAUGUGGCAUUGUAUUUGAAAGUUUCUUGCUUUAGUUACUUCUAAUGGCAUUCAAUUUAAAUGUCUUGAAAUACAUCUUAUUGCUUUUACAAGUUUUUUCAAGAAAGUGCAGAACAAAUAUAAAUAUUAGAAUUUGCAGAAGAGCCAGAAGAUCAAGUGUCAAAGGAGCCAAGUAAAAUUCCUGUGACCAAAUCAGGUUCAGAUCCUAGUUCAUGCAGCGAAACCAAAAAAGUAUUGUGUGAAGAUAUUCAAGGUUUAAGUAAGGAAUCUAUGGAAUCUAUCUACCCUAGAUUUUUGGCUUUAAAUCAUAAUUAUCUUUUGUGAAAAGUAUUUUUAGUUUGCCAUUUACAGUUAUUGUCAGAAGAGGCCAAGUUAGAGGUUUGUAGUUUUCAAUUACUUGUGUACUAUGAAAUUCAAUUUACAAUGCACAGCUGGGAUGAAGUUAGAUUGUGCAAUACAAUGACAUUAAUUUCUCUUAAUCCAUUGUUUUCUUGCUUUAUUGACUAUCUUGCAGGUGCAAAAUUUGAUAGAAAGAUGUAAACUAUACAUGAGUCAAGAUGAAGAUGUCAAAACUAAAUUCUCAUUUGAGCCAUUAUGUACUCAAGAAGGAAAUUCGUUUGGUGAAUACUUGGUCCCAUUCAUUUGUUAAUUAUGGGGGGCAAAUAAUCCAAGGCCAUUCCCAUUGCUUGUAAAAUUUAAAUAAAUGACCCGUCUCUAUCCUUAUCAAGAAAAAGAGUCUCUACUUA